CUAUCCUAUAGAGAAAAGAGCACCCCACCUCAAUCAGUCUUUGACCACCUUUUAGAUAUGUUUUCUGAAAAGAAAAAAAGCAACGUUCUUGCUGUAGUUAUGCUGACUUUUUUUUACACUUACAUUAGUGUAAUUCCAUGUUUCAACAAAUUGUGUAAGGAAAACAGUCUCUGCAUAUGAAGGCAACAUUCAGAUACAGAGACCUUCCUAUUUCUGUGUUCCCAUUAAGACAGGUGUAAAAGCAAUAAUACAUUUUGUCUGACUUUUUAAUUUUCAGAAUUCAAUGUUAAAUAUGAAGCAAACUCAGACACUUGUACAUAUUCCACACUGAUUUCACUUUGGGCUGUGAAGAAUUCUUUCAUUUAGCACCCACCCUAACCUACAGAACUGAGAUGACUAAAGUUACGGCUGUACCUUCUAAGACAAGGAGACAUUUCUUUGCUCCAGCAGAAUGUUCCGUUUCUUAUGGUGAUACUUGCCUGUACUAAGAUAUAAGGAGAAAAAGAACACUUGUGAAAUUCAAAAGCACCAUUCUGGAAGCUGAACAAUGGAAGCUACUCCUCUUGUAAGACAACACUAAGACAGAAGCUCACCACAGUCAGAAGUGUUUCUGUUUGAGCUCUCGGGAUUCAGUUCUUCCAGAUUCAGAAAAGCUGCUAAGCGGUUAAAAGAAACUUUGGCCUGAAAAUGAAGAAGCACAUAAAACAGUAAGAUUUAGAAUAGAAAGGGAGUACAACUAGAAGGUAAGACUCAUACUGAAAACCCACUGAAGACUGUUAAUUAGGUGCUAUGUUGCAGAUGCUAUGUAGGCUUAGAUGGACAAAUGCAGCUCUUCCCUAAGUUAAUCGUAUUUAUUUCCACUUAAACAAAAAAGCCAUGUUCUUCCAUGUAUUUUCUGUUCAAAUGCUUGAAAUUGCUGCUUUUUUCCCAAAUUCAUCCUGCAAUUUUCCCAGUGAUUGCUCCUGUAUAUGAAGAAUCAUGACAGUCUUCUUGAAGUGCAAGAGAGAAGCAAAAUUUUCCAAUUUCUCACUAAUGACUUGCUUUUCUCUCUGGCCUCGGCUAGCAAGGUUCUUCUGAUCUCCCAUGGAGAUUUUGCCCCAUUUGUUCUGAUCUCUGUGAUUAAAAAUAGAACUGGAAGCAUGUCUGAGAUUUAAUGGUGCUUGUGAUACAGGACUAACAGGUAAUUAAUGCUUCUAAAAGAGAGCUUAAUCCCAGAUACUGCCCACCAAAAAAGUAUUAGUCUCUGCCUUACACCAUAUGACGUUUAUAUGGCCCUAAAAGACUUAAGAAUUAUUCUUAGUGACUAUUUUGUCAAUAUAUCAACCUUUCUGAAAAACAGUACUUCUGAAGUACCUUUAGCUGCAACUCCUUGCACUUCACUUUUUUACAAUAGCAAUUAAAUAGCUGGCCUGAAAUUCAAAGCCAUAAGAAAUCCCUCCCUUUACCUUUCAAUGGUGGUAUCUAAAAAACAGUUUUGGCCAAAAAAAAAAAAAAAAAGAAACAUAUCCUGCAAUUAACCUGGA